GUACACGCUGUGACUAGCAUAUCAAUAAGCGGAGGAAAAGAAACUAACAAGGAUUCCCCUAGUAACGGCGAGUGAAGCGGGAAGAGCUCAAAUUUGAAAUCUUAAAGGGUUUCCCUUUACGAAUUGUAGUUUAAAGAAGUGUUUUCUGUUGAGGUUUUGGUAAAAGUUCUUUGGAAUAGGACAUCAUAGAGGGUGAGAAUCCCGUAUUUGACCUUUACUUUCAACUUUGUGAUACACUUUCAAAGAGUCGGAUUGUUUGGGAAUGCAGUCCAAAAUGGGUGGUAAAUUUCAUCUAAAGCUAAAUAUUGGCGAGAGACCGAUAGCGAACAAGUACCGUGAGGGAAAGAUGAAAAGAACUUUGAAAAGAGAGUUUAAACAGUACGUGAAAUUGUCAAAAGGGAAGCGUUUGACACCAGUGUUGUUUUUCUGAAAAUCAAUUAAAGAACUGUUUAUGCUAAGCUGUUUAGACUUUAUCAGCUAAUCUGUUUAGUUUUGAGCUUUUCUUUAAUGCACUUUUCAGUUAACAAGUCAACAUCAAUUUCUUUUGCUGUAAAAAAGCUUGAGGAAGGUGGCUUGAGAUUCGUCUUAAGUGUUUAUAGCCUCUUGCCUAUGCAGUCGGAGAGAUUGAGGUCUGCAGCGUAGAUCCUUCGGGGCUAAAUGCAUUUGUGCUAAGUUAUAGCAUUUUAUAGACAACUUGUUGACUAUGAUUUGUCUUGUAGCUUACUCGCUUACUGAUAUUUUACCUACGCUUAGGAUGUUGAUAUGCAUGACUGAUAU
rnacentral:rRNA from 1 species